rnacentral:rRNA from 1 species
UACGGAGGGGGCUAGCGUUGUUCGGAAUUACUGGCGUAAAGCGCGCGUAGGCGGACCUGCAAGUCGGGGGUGAAAGCCCGAGGCUCAACCUCGGAACUGCCUUCGAUACUGCGGGUCUCGAGUCCGGGAGAGGUGAGUGGAAUUCCUAGUGUAGAGGUGAAAUUCGUAGAUAUUAGGAAGAACACCAGUGGCGAAGGCGGCUCACUGGCCCGGUACUGACGCUGAGGCGCGAAAGCGUGGGGAGC